rnacentral:rRNA from 3 species
GGACUACCGGGGUUUCUAAUCCCGUUCGCUCCCCUGGCUUUCGCGUCUCAGCGUCAGGUGGGGUCCAGGAGCGCGCUUUCGCCGCGGGCGUUCCUGCCGAUCUCAACGCAUUUCACCGCUCCACCGGCAGUUCCCGCUCCCCCUACCCCCCUCCAGGCCGGUCGUAUCCGCGCCCCUUCCCCGGUUGAGCCGGGGGAUUUCAGCGUCGGACGUGCCGGCCCGCCUACACGCGCUUUAGGCCCAGUGAUUCCGAAUAACGUUCGCACGGUUCGUCUUACCGCGGCGGCUGGCAC